GGAGGAGUCCAAGGCUUUCUAGAGACUUCUAGGAAUCUCUUAUAUAUUCUUGUACAUAGGGUUGUACAUAGAAUAGGGUAGGAUGUUCUAGAAUAUUCUUGAUUUGUAAGGAACCCUCCAAGGUUCUAGAGAGUUCCCUUGGUGCCUAUAAAUAGGUGAGGGCCUCAUUUGGCCAAGGCACCACCCAAAUCACUUCCUAACCAAGCAAGUGAGCUUCCAAG
rnacentral:lncRNA from 1 species